AGCCCCCCUCAAGAUGAGAUAUCCCAUAACGUCAAGUUAGUAAGACCCCUUGAAGACGACGAGGUAGAUAGGGCAGAGGUGGAAGCAUGGUAACAUGUGGAGCUGACUGUUACUAAUAGGUCGAGGGCAUGACCAG
rnacentral:rRNA from 1 species